CUCUAGUCCCCUCUCACAUGGGAGUGGGGCAGCUGGCCUACCACAGUGUGGUUUGCUCUUCCUCAUCCUUACCCAGGGAGAGAAUUUGCAUCCCUGUUGGUAUCUCUGACAUGACAUUAAAAACACAGCAGGAGGUACCAUAAAAAUUCCUAUGGAAACAUAAAACACAAAGGUGCUUUACAAAGGAAUAAGUUACAAACUAACAGUGACUGUAGGGAAAAGUGGCAGCUCACACACAGCCUUGGAAAAUAGAACCUGUUUUACUGAGAAGGGGA